rnacentral:rRNA from 1 species
UACGUAGGUGGCAAGCGUUGUCCGGAAUUAUUGGGCGUAAAGCGCGCGCAGGCGGUCCUUUAAGUCUGAUGUGAAAGCCCACGGCUCAACCGUGGAGGGUCAUUGGAAACUGGGGGACUUGAGUGCAGGAGAGAAGAGUGGAAUUCCACGUGUAGCGGUGAAAUACGUAGAGAUGUGGAGGAACACCAGUGGCGAAGGCGACUCUUUGGCCUGUAACUGACGCUGAGGCGCGAAAGCGUGGGGAGCAAACAGG